AGGGAAUCUUCGGCAAUGGGGGCAACCCUGACCGAGCAACGCCGCGUGAGUGAAGAAGGUUUUCGGAUCGUAAAGCUCUGUUGUAAGUCAAGAACGGGUGUGAGAGUGGAAAGUUCACACUGUGACGGUAGCUUACCAGAAAGGGACGGCUAACUACGUGCCAGCAGCCGCGGUAAUACGUAGGUCCCGAGCGUUGUCCGGAUUUAUUGGGCGUAAAGCGAGCGCAGGCG
rnacentral:rRNA from 1 species